GACGAACGCUGGCGGCGUGCCUAAUACAUGCAAGUCGAACGCUUUUUCUUUCACCGGAGCUUGCUCCACCGAAAGAAAAAGAGUGGCGAACGGGUGAGUAACACGUGGGUAACCUGCCCAUCAGAAGGGGAUAACACUUGGAAACAGGUGCUAAUACCGUAUAACACUAUUUUCCGCAUGGAAGAAAGGUGAAAGGCGCUUUUGCGUCACUGAUGGAUGGACCCGCGGUGCAUUAGCUAGUUGGUGAGGUGACGGCUCACCAAGGCAACGAUGCAUAGCCGACCUGAGAGGGUGAUCGGCCACACUGGGACUGAGAAACGGCCCAGACUCCAACGGGAGGCAGCAGUAGGGAAUCUUCGGCAAUGGACGAAAGUCUGACCGAGCAACGCCGCGUGAGUGAAGAAGGUUUUCGGAUCGUAAAACUCUGUUGUUAGAGAAGAACAAGGAUGAGAGUAAAAUGUUCAUCCCUUGACGGUAUCUAACCAGAAAGCCACGGCUAACUACGUGCCAGCAGCCGCAGUAA
rnacentral:rRNA from 1 species